GACGUAGGGCGCGAGCGUUGUCCGGAUUUAUUGGGCGUAAAGAGCUCGUAGGCGGCUUGUCGCGUCGUUCGUGAAAACCCGGGGCUCAACUCCGGGCUUGCGGGCGAUACGGGCAGGCUAGAGUUCGGUAGGGGAGACUGGAAUUCCUGGUGUAGCGGUGAAAUGCGCAGAUAUCAGGAGGAACACCGGUGGCGAAGGCGGGUCUCUGGGCAACAACUGACGCUGAGGAGCGAAAGCGUGGGGAGCGAACAGG
rnacentral:rRNA from 1 species